rnacentral:misc_RNA from 1 species
UUUAUUUCACACUUCCAAUCCUUGAUUGGUUUUGGUGGACCUGGGUGUUGCCCCUUCCUUGAGGCUCACCUCAAAUCAAGUAGUGCAUCCUUGCUGGACCACAGUACGGCGUCAUAGUUACUAUCCCGCCGGCCCUCUUACCAGGGUGGUUUAUCAAGUGAUUGUGCUUCCAACCGUCUUCGGACAAUCUCCCA